AGAAGCGUGCUUUCCACUAGAUUAUAAGCUC
rnacentral:piRNA from 2 species